GACAAUUGUAUCCAUCACCUUUAAUGGCGAAACUAACCAAGAACCAAAAGUGUUAGUCGGUGGAAAUGACUUCUACGCAUUCCCCCGUCUGGAUUCCAAAGGAGAGCGGCUAGCUUGGAUUGAAUGGGGUCACCCUAACAUGCCAUGGGAUAAAGCACAACUUUGGGUUGGUUACAUUUCCAAGGAUGGAGAUAUAAGCCAAAGGAUCUGUGUUGCCGGUGGUGAUCCUAUGCUGGUAGAGUCUCCAUCUGAGCCCAAGUGGUCCUCUAAAGAUUGAGCACAGAAACGAGGUGGUAUCGAUUUAUUCCAUCGAUGCUGAGUUUACAAAACCGUUUUGGGUUUUCGGUGCUUCCUCCUUUGAUUUCAUCCCAACCAAUGGCAACAACAACUUAAUUUCUUGCAGCUACAGGUCUCUCCAUUAUAGUUAUCACCACUAUAUUCCUUUUUGGUCCAUUUGUUGUAAUUUUAGCAUUUUUGUUCUUUUAAUGGUGGAUGUGUCGUUUGAAAUUUGAUUUCAGCUGUAAUUGAUAACAUGCAGACAGUUUGAGAUGAAGUGUAUGUGAGUUGGAUUAGUAAUAUGAUGGGAUGAAGAUGGGUUUGCGUUUU